UACGGAGGGGGCUAGCGUUGUUCGGAAUUACUGGGCGUAAAGCGCGCGUAGGCGGACCUGCAAGUCGGGGGGUGAAAGCCCGAGGCUCAACCUCGGAACUGCCUUCGAUACUGCGGGUCUCGAGUCCGGGAGAGGUGAGUGGAAUUCCUAGUGUAGAGGUGAAAUUCGUAGAUAUUUAGGAAGAACACCAGUGGCGAAGGCGGCUCAGCUGGCCCGGUACUGACGCGUGAGGCGCGAAAGCGUGGGGAGCAAACAGG
rnacentral:rRNA from 1 species